rnacentral:miRNA from 1 species
AUAAGAGGAAGGGCGGUGUGAAAGGAGAAUGCGGUAGGCGACUAACUUGGUUUGUUGAUAUGGUUUGGUUUGUUUGCCACUGGGGCUCACUGUCUGCACAGCUCUGUUCUUGGCAACCAAUUUUGGUCUU